AGCUCCAAUAGCGUAUAUUAAAGUUGCUGCAGUUAAAAAGCUCGUAGUUGGAUCUCGGGGUACCUGGUCUAGCCGGUAUAGCUCACGCUAAAACUGGUCUGACCCCCCAACGUGAGGUAUUCUUCUCCGGGUUCACUUCCUUUGGUGCUCGUGAGGGGCCUCGUAGUUACUGUGAAAAAAUUAGAGUGUUCAAAGCAGGCUCAUAUGUUCGGAUAGUCGUGCAUGGAAUAACUGAAUACGUGACGGGCGCUUUUAAGUUGGUCUCGGAGACUGGUAAAAUGAUUAAGAGGGACUGCCGGGGGCAUUGGUAUGGAGGGGUUAGAGGUGAAAUUCUUGGAUCCUCGCAAGACCAACAAAAGCGAAAGUAUUUGCCAAGAAUGGCUUCA
rnacentral:rRNA from 1 species